GUUGGGGCGGACCGCGAGCCCCGCGGGCCGGGCGGGAAGUGCGGGCGCGCGGCGGUCCCGGGGGACGGGGGCACGGGGGUCGCCGGAGGCGGCCGGCGCGGGUGCUCGGCGCAUGGAGAGGAAGGGGCGCGCUCGGGGUCCCCGGCUGGAGCCCGCAGGUGCCCGGCGGGGCCCACGCCUGGAGUGGAUGUGCAGUGGAUCCACUUGGAGCAGCCUUACUCGAAGAAUAAUACCCUCAGGAUCUCCCCUUGCUGUGGGAAUAAUCCAAGGCACCUUUCCGGGAAGUCAGUUUGCUGAAACUACUGAAGCAGCAGUUCUUGGAAGUUGAAGAAAAGGUAAAUAGAAGCAAAUUUGUGUCUGCUAAAGUCCUCUUAAGAGGGAAACCCAUGUUUGGAGGGUCCCUGUUGCUUCUUAGACAUACCCAGCUCUAUGUGUAAUAUUUUACCUUCCUCUGCCUGGCCACGCCCUAGUUUGCCUUCACCAGCGGCUCCCGCCUCGGAAACGAGGGCUUUCCUCUCUGGCUGGUGUGGUUUCUCCUGCCUUUGAACCCCCACUGUACCGCGUUCUCCUUACUGACCUGUAUCCCGGGGGCCACUCUGUGGCCCUCCUCUCUGUCCUCCCGCAGCCGUGUGGAAUGUGGGGGCUGCUUUCUGUGACCCUCACCCCGUCGUAGCACUUCCAUGCUGACUGUAGUUACCUGUUUGCGUGUUUCCCCCAGUCACUUCCUUACGAUGUAUCUGAACUGAGCCUCAGACAUAGAAGCUGCCUCCAUGAACAUUUAUCGAAUGAGCAGUGCUCACCUCAUGUGUAGAUUCACUAAUACCUCCACCGUUCCACCCUUAUAGGGCCUCUACUACAAAUCCUUCUCAAAUUGAUUUUAUUCUUUGAGCACUCAUCAGAGAUUUUUAAUCUCUAGUUGCUUUUUGUGUUUUGGCUGUUGGGGAAAUGAAGCAAAGCUUUCAUAUCUAGUUUUUAUUUUUCAUGGGCAGUUUGGUUCCACAUUAAGAGCUGUGAUCCAGAAGCUUGAGGGGAAGCGAGGUGACAGGCAGGUCCGGGAACCAGUGACCUUGGAAGCAUGGCUCCCCACCCGAAUCCGC
rnacentral:lncRNA from 1 species